GGGAGAUUGUCAACAGAAAAUCCUUCCACAGUAUCAAUGUUCAGAUGAUCUGUGAUGCCGCCUGAAUCAUUACCAAUCUGGAGGCAAAGUGGCUGCUGCCAUUGAUCAAAACCUGCAGAAUUGCUCUGUUGUCAGGCUGCCCGGUCACUGAGAUAGGCUGUGCAUCUUUGGUCUCAGCUCUGAAGUCAAACCCCUCCUACCUGAAAGAGCUGGAUCUGAGCUACAAUCACCCAGGAGACUCAGGAGUCAGACUGCUCUCUGCUGGACUGAAAGAUCCACACUGGAGACUGGAGAAACUCAAGUAUGUCUUGUAGAUGUUAGUUACUUCAGUGGUGUGGUAGUUAGUCCAGUGGGGUGGUAGUUAGUUCAGUGUGAUGGUAGUUAGUACAGUGUGGUGGUAGUUAG